CCCUCCACUCUUAUAAAAUCCUUGGUUUGUGCUAGGUGUGCUUUUGCAAUAGGCAGCUGUAAAUGCAAAGUGAUCAGUAUUAACUGAUGCACCAGGAAAGGCGAAGCAUUGAUACCGAUAAGGCUUCUGUACUUUCUUCUCCUUUGUACUACAUUUUUCUGUCUUACAAGUACUCUUUCACUGUUUAACUGCCUCUUUGUGUUUCUUUUUAAAUCCAUAAGCUGUACUUUUAAUUCAACUAGAAACUGCAUCUCCCUGUAUCAAGUAAAAUAAUCAACUUCCAUUAGUCAGAAGGGAUUCUCACAAUUUUUCAAUGAAUUUUUGUGGCACAUGUGAUUGAUUUGUACAAUAUUGAUAAUAAACUUCUGCAGGACAGAAUCGCUGUUGAGUCACAACUUACCACUCUGUCAGCUCCAGGCUGACUUUGAUCUUCAUAUCCCAGGGAAAUACGGCUGGAUAGCAUAAACCAUGUUUUAUUCCUUACUCUUUAAGAUUUCUCUCACCCCACCGUUUUUCCAGCUAUUAUUGAUUAUUGUGCCCUUUGCCCCUUAGAGCUAUUUUCAGGGUUGGAACUAGAUGAUCUUUAAGGUCCCUUCCAACCCUAACUCUUCUAUGAUUCUGUUUUGGGUAAAAAUAACUUAGUUUCCUACGAAGUUUGCCUGAGAAAUACUGCAGGACAAGAUCCAGCUGAAGUACCUCCUGCAGAAUGUUAUUAAUUUACAUUCCACAUGUAUGUAGACAUAAUACAUGAAAUGGCCCUGGUGUGCUCUGCUGGGUAGAGCCAGGAGUCAGACCUUAAUCUCUCUGAGAUCUACUUCUAAGGCUGUAACUUGGUCCUAGUCAGAUUCUUAACCUCCCUUUUCCUCAGCUUCCUUACCCAGGAAUAAACUCAUCUUUCUGAAUUACUUUAACGCUUUGGAUAUAAGUUUUUUUCCCAAAGUGCAUCAUGUUUUUGCUUUGUACCGUGAUGCUCUUAGCUGGGCACUGUGCAACCAUUGUGCCAAAAUAACAGAAAGCAAUGGUGGUAUUUUUUUUGUUCUUAUUUGCAGAGAUAUUUCCUUUAUCAUUCUCAAUUGCAGUUGCACAACUCACGGCGUAAGAGCUAUGGUUCUUUGAGAUGAAAAACAGCCACUCUGAUUAAAAGCAUAAGUCUUGCAGGCAGGAAACAAGGCAUGUGGAGAGCAACGGAUUCUGGCAAGUCCCUGUGUUUCUACUGAAUACUAAAAGUAGAAUGUUGUGAACUCAAGUGGAAGGAAUAGAACACAAUCGGUGAAAGAGGGAGAGUUACAACCGGCUGACAAGAGACUCAAGCUACACGCACUUGGCAAUGGUAAAGCUUGGCAUUCAGUCUGUGCGCUGAGUGGUGCGUACCAGGAAGAACACCAAAAGAAAACUUGUAAGUCAAAAUAGAUUAUCGUUUCUUGCCCUUUAUAGUAGCUGGCGCCAGGAGAGUGGCCCUUGGAGGGCUGCUUGUUCACAUCCACGCAGCGUGACAGGGGUAACACUGUUCUGCCCCUUACUUUGUCCCCAGAGAUUGGGGGUUACCUGCAGGGAGGGCAGCUGCAGCUAUUGCUAUCCAGGUCUGGAAAGAGGAAGACUGUGAGUCAUAAAUGGAUUUAAAUGACAGUAAGUACGGUCCCGGUUCUACGCAUCAGAACGCAAGUUCAGCUUCUUGGCCUUAGAUGUUUAUACUUAAUAUCUUUG